UUAGUUGUGGCAGCAUAAAUUAGGUUACUCCAGCUCAAAGCCACAGCCAUAGGACUACUUUCACUGUUUGCAAACUCAGGGGGGGUUGGCCAAACAUCACUUUGGAUUUAAGGCUACUUGCACACUGGGAUUUUUUGGGGAUUCACCUAAGAGAUGCAUCAACCAACCCUGGUCACGGUUGCUGUUCUGCUCUUCUCUCUCACCACUGUCUAUGGGGGGAACGUGCUGGUCUUCCCAUUGGAUGGAAGCCACUGGGUGAAUAUGAAAGUCCUCAUCGAAGAGCUGCACUCCAGAGGCCAUAGCAUCACAGUGAUUCGUCCAACCACCAACUGGUACAUCAAGGAGAAAUCCCCUCACUACUCGUGCAUUACCAUCCCAGUAUCUGGUGGUGGAUUUGUUGAGGAGGUCUUUAGUUUGUUUGUGACCAGACAAUUGCAGAUCCAAAGGGAGGGCGGAGGUUUCUGGUCUCGUAUGAGUCUGGAGCUUGAGGUGGUGAAGCAGUUCUAUGAGUUACACAAGGAAUUGGUUGUAAUGAUGACUAUGAUAUUCGAAGAUGCCGAACUAAUGCAUUCGCUUAGCGAUGCAAACUAUGACCUGGUUUUGACAGAUCCUGCCAUUGGUGGGGGCGUGUUUCUGGCUCAUCGCAUUGGUCUUCCUCUUGUCUUCAAUGUCCGAUGGACAGUCCAGGGCGAGGGUCACUUUGCCAUAGCCCCCUCGCCUCUCUCAUAUGUCCCAUUGCCAGGAGCACUGUUGACAGACAAAAUGACUUUUCAAGAGAGAGUCAUAAAUGUUCUGUUUUAUCUUUUUACAAGGUUUCAAAUUGCAUACGUCAUAGACCCUCACUACAUUCCGUUCGUCCAUCGUUACUUCGGCCCUGACGUUCACUACAUGUCAUUGUUCCAGGCAGCAGACAUAUGGCUCAUGAGGAAUGACUUUACCUUUGAGUUUCCGCGGCCUACCAUGCCAAACGUGGUCUACAUGGGCGGUUUCCAGUGCAAGCCCUCGAAGCCGCUUCCUCAGGACAUGGAGGACUUUGUCCAGAAGUCUGGGGACCAUGGGGUCAUCAUGAUGUCCCUGGGGACCUUGGUGGGACAACUACCUGAGGACAUCGCUGAGGACAUCGCAGCUGCUUUCGCCAAACUGCCUCAGAGGAUCGUCUGGAGGCACACUGGGAAGAGGCCCACCUCCGUGGGCAACAACACCUUACUAGUGGAUUGGCUCCCCCAGAACGACCUCCUUGGACACCCCAAGACCCGAGCCUUUGUUGCCCACGGCGGAACCAAUGGAGUCCAGGAGGCCAUCUACCAUGGUGUCCCUAUUGUCGGCCUCCCGUUGGUCUUCGACCAGCAAGACAACCUCAAUAGGAUGAGGGCUAAGGGAGUGGCUAAGAUAGUGGACAUCGCCACCGUAGACAGAGACAUCUUCCUGGAGGCAGUGAAGGCUGUUCUCUAUGAGCCGACCUACAGGGAGAACAUGCAGAGGCUAUCCAGGCUGCACAGGGACCAGCCCAUGAAACCACUGGACCGCGCCAUGUUCUGGAUUGAGUUUGUCAUGAGGAACAAAGGAGCGGCACAUCUGAGGACAGAGUCCUAUAAGAUGUCCUGGUUCACCUACCACUCUGUUGACGUCGUAGCAACGCUACUGGCCAUUGUGUUGCUCAUAAUGCUGGUUAGCACUUUAGCUGUAAGGUUUUUGUGGCGUAAGGUGUCUUGUAGGAGGAAAGUGAAACAUGAAUGAUAGCGAUGUAUUAAUGAAUAUUAAUAUGUUAUCAAAUCAUCAUUGAUAAAAUAUUCUAAAUAUUUUUUGAUGGUUUUCUUCCUAACAUCAAUAAGAAGGUCACACUCCUUAAUGUGGAUAUUUGAAACAAUACAGUUGGUUACUUUUGGCAAUA